GAUGUGAUCAUAACUAUAAGAAUAAUAAUAAUGAAUAAUGUCGCAAUCCCAUAGAAAUAUUUUCUAUGUCAACCUCUUGUACGGUUGCUGUAGUUAAUUUUUUCUUUGGGAAUAGGCGAAAAUGACGCUUUGCGGUCACUCAAAAUCAUGAUUUUCUAGGGGA
ensembl:miRNA mir-8196.2 miscRNA